CAGGGAAUAGUUUAAAAAGAAUAUCAGCUUUGGGUGUUGAUGGUGGGGCUAUCGUCUCUUCCCUGA
rnacentral:tRNA from 1 species